GGAGGAGGACGAGGGAUCCUCGGUGAGGGCAUCGUCGGUGACGGUCGUGUCCCCGAACGCCAGGCCCGGGACGGCGGAGGGGCCCUUGAUCACCUGCACCGCUGUCGGGUUGCUUCCCGUCAGGAUGUCGUGCAUGAACAAGUGCAGGUGCGUGGUGGUGCCGCCGUCAGCCGCCAGGACGGCCGCCGGCGACGACAUCGGAGCGAGGAGGAAGAGGAGGACGGCGGCAGCGAGGGAGGGAGCCAUAGGUGCUCUGCCUUGAUGAAUGGAUGCAACAUUACUGGCAGCUAGAAGGUGAUGGUCAGGUUUUUGUAAAGUCGAUCGAGCGAUGAGACGAGAUGACGAAUUGACGAUAGUAGUAGAUCCAUUUCGAGAGGUCACGAUCCAUUUUAGGUGAAAAAGGAACGCAUCGUAUCUGUCUAUUAGUAAAACAUUCCAUGAUUCGGCUUUGCCAAGUCCAAGUCCGAUCCUGGCUUCAGCAUCAGGACACAGCCAUUCGCCUUCGUUUUCGCCUGGUCUUCUGGUCGGUUCUUCCAAACGAAACGCUACAGUGUGCUACAGUGCUGUAACAGUAAUUUGACACCUCCAAACUUUGGCAACUAAACAAGACCUAAACAUGAGAGAAAAACACAUGCAUGCAUAACAGGUCAUGCCACACGUCACGUCGUUAAUUAAUGAUAACCACCUUUUUCAGUGGACUGUGGGCAUGCGACAGCUCCAGGCUGUGAGAUUCAAAGGUCAGCAAAGAGAACGGGGGAGGUGGUGGUGGUGUUGUGCCUGUCAUGUCACGGUGCUCAUGGUUACUGCAAUACUGCUGCUACACCAGUUGCUCCUCCAAUGGCUAUAUUGUCAGUUUGUCACGUCCUGGGUGUCGAUUUCUCGUUGCACGAAGCAGAGACUGCUAUCCCAAGGACAUUAUCAGCAGACCCAAAGGACAGCGGCUGUAACCAAUAAUUUCUUAUGCUCACGCUUAUCUCGAGUCUUUACCUACUGCUAUGACAGAGAUAGAGGGGUUGUUGAGCAUGAUUAACAAAAUGUUGUUAAUAAAGGACGCCGACCUGCCAGUUUUGCGUGCUUUGGGCGCUACCUCCAUCGGCAUCCACACAUGCAUGCGAGUUGCGACCACCUUUUGCUCCUUGCUUUUCCAAGAACACAUUUUCUUUGGAUUUAUUUCCUUUUUUUCAGAGGUCCACUACAUCACCACCAUUGGCUGAGUUAGUACGUUACAUAAUUGUCAACUGAGACAUCACCAUGCUUUUGACAGAUGUUUUGACAGGUUGAACGAAAGCGAGCAAGCCCAUGCCCAGGCGUCAGAAGAAUAAGCAUAUGAGCAUCACAUCCCAACCAACGGACAACAAACUGUACACAUCGACAUGCUACCAAGCUCUGACAUACCGCACCACCAAACUAAACGUAGGAUCCAACCACCGCAACAACAACGGCGACAAACACCGCACUGACCCACCCUCCAACCCGCACGGCGGCGGCCGACGACGAGCCGCCGACGGGCGUCGAGGAGUCGAUGGUGGCGCCGCCGCCCGUGGUGACGUACACGUCGAGCUCGACGGUGGCGUCGGGCCCGUUCAUGCUGUUGGUCUUCCACAGCACGUACCCCGUGGCCAUCCUGAACCUCCCCGUGCCGCCGACGACGGCGAGCUCCCUCACGUCCGCCGCGAUGUCGUCGCGGCCCAUCACCGCGACGGUGCUGCCGUUGUAGCCCCCCGCCGUCAGCAGCAGGUUGGCGCACACCGUCAGCACGGCGCCCCCCGACUGCGACGUCAUCAUGUAGAAGCCCUGCACGCGGCCGACGGCGGCGGAGGAGGACGAGGGAUCCUCGGUGAGGGCAUCGUCGAUGACGGUCGUGUCCCCGAACGCCAGGCCCGGGACGGCGGAGGGGCCCUUGAUCACCUGCACCGCCGUCGGGUUGCUUCCCGUCAGGAUGUCGUGCAUGAACAAGUGCAGGUGCGUGGUGGUGCCGCCGUCAGCCGCCAGGACGGCCGCCGGCGACGACAUCGGAGCGAGGAGGAAGAGGAGGACGGCGGCAGCGAGGGAGGGAGCCAUAGGUGCUCUGCCUUGAUGAAUGGAUGCAACAUUACUGGCAGCUAGAAGGUGAUGGUCAGGUUUUUGUAAAGUCGAUCGAGCGAUGAGACGAGAUGACGAAUUGACG
rnacentral:lncRNA from 1 species